ensembl:lncRNA
AGAGUAUUCUUCCUAUAAAACUGGUUUUAUUGACCAUAUCACAACAAGCACAUACAUUUAUCAUUUCAAAUGAAUAGAAAUAACAAUGUUGAACACAGUUGGUACUCAAUAACUGGCAAAUAAACUGCUGAAGUUGUUGGAUUUUUAUAUCAAUUAAUUUGAACAUGCAUCACCGUAUUCAUAACUGAAUAUAGUCCAAUUGGUUAAAUGUGCCAUCACUAAUUUUUCUACCAUUAUGAUUUGACAAAAAUGUUAUUUACUAUUUUACAAUUAUAAUUAACACUACACUGAGUACCCUUAAGUUUACAUGCAUCGUUGAACACCUCCUAUUAUAUCCUUAUAGGUAAAUAUCUAAAACCAAAAUUGUUGGUCAAAAGUGCUAAUUUCCAUUUUAUAUAUAUUUUCUACUACCUUCCUUAAAGAUUUUAACACAUCAGGAGUUGUAAAUUCUCCCCACCUUGUUAACACAUGUAUCUGUUAAUCUGAUAGGUGAAAAAAGGCAAAUAAUUGUUUUUAUAUAUAUUUUAAGUAUAUAUUUCAUAUGUACACAAAUUUCAUUAUUUCAUUAUAAUGACUGAUAAGAUUGAGCACAUUUUCUAUGCUCUUGGCCAUUUGCAAUGCUUUUCUUUUAUGAAUUGUUCAUUUACAUGCUUUCCCAAUUGAUUUGAAUGAGCCUUUCAACACUAAAUUUGGCAUACAUGUUUUCAGUAAAUAUACAUACAUUGCUGCAAAAGAGAAAUUGCCCAAAUUUAAUUUUAACUUGGCAGUUUAUUCAUUCUUUUUACCUCACCUUUACUGAAAUGCAGAUAGCAUCAACAAACAAGAGCAAAUUGGUAAAAACCCUUUAAUUGGAUUAAAGAUGGCAUUCGUUUGCUAUAUAUACUGUUGAUGCUAUCAUGCUUUUACAAGCUGAGUUAAAGAAUAGCUCUGGCAUGUAGUAAUCUCACUCUGAUGUGGUGAAACAACUACAACUGCUCAAAUGAUGUCAAAAUAGGCUCAAUUUAUGGUCCACGGAGGAUGGAUACCACCACAGCUGCUCAGAGACAAUCCUGUUAACUGGGAUAAGAAGGCAGGCAAGAUUUUGGAAUUCCCUGGAACUUUAUAUAGAUGAAAUUUGGAAGAAAUAGGUUCAAUUUUGAAAUAUAAUUUAUCAACUAUAACUAUUAUAGCAAGGGGUUUAUAUCACUCCAAUUCCUUCUACUGUGCUUGUUUUACACUGUUUAGGUGAUGUUAAUGGCACGUGGUAGUCAUUUAUAUCACUCACCUGCAAAUGGUAUUUGGCAAAAGAGCUAAACAAAUUUUUAAGAAAAUGAAAAUGUUGAAAUAAUACUUCAAAUAUUAUUACCAUGCGCCUGAGUUGAUGUGAUUUUUUUUUCAGGUUCCAGUUUAGCCAAUGCUCUGGUUUCCUGAAGGGUAAACUCUAGCCCACAGGCUGCUUUUCUAAAGCCUUAUUGGAAGAAAGGCAUAGCACACUCAUUCCAUUAUAAAUUAUCUAUGGCUGCUUUCAUAAUAAAACAGCAGAGCAGAUUGGCCACAACAAAGACCACAAUGCUUUCAGAACUGACAGUGUGUAUCUGGCAAUUUACAGAAAAAGUCUGCCAAUCCAUGGUCUAGUUUAACACGGGCUGGAAAAAUAAUUCUACAUAAUUAAAAUUGAGCUUUAAAAUGUGGAAAUACAAAAGACUGAAAUGGCAGAGCCAUCUUAUCUACUCUGUUUUCUCACACCCAGAAGAUACAGAAUGUCAGCACUAUUUUGUUUUUCUUCAUAUUCAAGCACAGUGUAACAAGGCCAGAGUGCCUGCUGGACAAGGUCCCUGACUUAGGGCAUGCUCUCUUCUAGUUUUUCUUUCUAUACAUCACCACCUCACAGAUCACCAUCACCACUGUCCAUUCGCAUGGAGGUAACUCCUUUGAGUUUCCACUGCUAUGCCCUUCUGUCUCUUAUGACAAAUGGCACAGACAGAUUACAGAUGAAUGAUUGAUAAAGACAGAUAUAUAGAUGAUAGAUAAAAAUGGACUGAUAGAUUAUUUAACAAUAGACAAAUUUAGAUGGAAGCAGAAUUGGGGAAGAGUUUGAGAGCUACCAAUAACAUCAGACAUCAGGAUACCAAUCAAGGUAUUUCUCAGAAUGGAACACUUAUUGUUCCACAUAAGCUUAUUUAUCUUAUGUGUACAUUGGUAUGCUGUUUCUGAAUUUUUCUUAAGACCAUAGAAAGACAGUAACUAUGCUUUAGUGAUUGUGUGCACUAUAAGAAGUGCAAUC